ACUUGAUGUCACUAGUUGACCAAUUAGGCUUUGAUAUUGUCUUGCAGAGGCAUAGUUAUGAAUUUUGUGUUAACUUUACCACUGUUUGUGUUUUAGGUCAAAUUGUCAAAGAAUUCACAAGGACCUAUACAGAUGUCUCUGGGCAAAGUCAUUUCAAUUGAAGAAAGAGUACCAAGGAAAGUAUCAUCUAGUGCCAUAGCUACUGCUGUAGUCAAGUAAAUACCAGCAAUGGGACCUGAAGCUGAAAGCUUGCCCUAGGGAAAGCGGUGGAUGGUGACAGCAUGACUGAGCAGAGGAGCAAGACGAGGAGGCACGGAUGGGAGCAAGGAUGAGGCUCGGUUCCAGAGAUGGCGGAUGCUGUGCCAGGCUGUGGAGCUGAGAUUCCAACUCCUUCUGUUUCUAAGAUGUCACACGACCUUUCUCUCAGGAAAGCAUUGUUAAACACAAGAGGACGAGGCAGUGUUUCCAACCUAUGCACUACAAGGACUUUCUUGUCUUUUUUUAUCACUCAGAUAGUUCUUACAUUUUUGUGUUUCUAUUAGUUUGUCAUGCAUAUUAAUUAAUUCAUAUUGAGAAGCUGGACUACACACAGUUCAUGUCUUGAUUGCUUUUACUUCUCUUUCCCUUCCCUACUCCUUUUCCCUUCUCCAGAUCCUUUAUGGUUUCCACAGAGUCUACCUCUAUGUUCUCUACUCUCUCCCUUUUAUUUUGCUCUUUGGAUUUAUAUUUUGGGUUUCUCAUAUAAAGAAACCAUAUGAUAUUUAACCUUCCACAUAUGCUUCUUUUCACUUAGGAUUAUGCUCUUAAUAUCCCUGUAUUUUCUCACACAUGACUCACAUGUGUCCUUUCUGGCAAAGUAAUAGCUUGCUGUGUAUGUAUACAUUGCAUUUUCUUUACCCCUUUGUCUGUCAAUGAGCAUAGAGGUCACUUCUAUAAUUAAAUAUUAUGAGUUUUUCUGCUAUAAAUGGGUAUGCUUUAUCACUGUAAUAUGAUUUCUUUCAUUCUUUAGAAAGAUGCCCUUAAAAGAUAUAACUGUAUCAGAUGAAAUUGCUGGUUUUAGUUUUUGGAGGCAUCUCCACAUUGAUUUCCAUAGUGGUUGUACUAGUUUUCAUCCUCAUUAGUAAUGGAGAAACGUUCCUUUUUCCUCACAACAUCACUAGGAUUUACUGCUUUUGUGCCCUGGGUGAGAGCCAUAGGAGAGGAAUAAAUUAGAUUACCAUUGUUUGCAGAUGACACAAUCCUCUACAUAGAAGAUCCAAAGAAAUCCACCAAAAGGCUCCUGGAAUUAACAAAGAAAUAUGGCAAUGUAUUGGGAUACAAAACCAAUACACACAAAAAAUUAAUAGCAUUCAUGAACCUCCCAUGUAAGAAAUCUCGAUGACUUUUCUUGGUGAGAAUAAGAGCUAUUUUUUAUCACUCUACUUUUGUAUUCCAUCUGGAAUCACAUCUUUAGAAAUUGAUAUUUUCCCAUUGUCCUGAGCUGUAUUUUUAAAUUUAUCUUAAGUGAUGUAUAAAAACAUAAAUUUGUGUAUUUAAUGGUUUGCCAUAGUAUGGUUUUUUAAAUUUUUUUUUUAUUUUAAAGAGAUUAAAAUAAAAGAGAACGUAAACAAAGCAUAUCAGAUCAGAACAAUGCAAGUAACACAGCAUUUUACCACAAGACAACCCAUAAUUAACAGUAACUACCAUAAUGUCUCUUUCUUUGAAAUGUUGAGCAUAGCUUCAUAUACGAUAGUACCAAACAUAACAAAAGAGUAUAAAUCCAUUCAAGAGAAUGAAGGCAUUAUAGGGCUUUCAGAACCAAAUAGCAGAGAACGAACAAUGGCUACUAUAUUAUCUCAUUUUCCAUAGCAAAUUUGUUAUACUGUCACACAAAAUAAUAUCCAGUUAAGAUAUAACAGGAUAGAACCAAGAGAAACAGAAAAACAAAAGCAUAGUAGGACUUCAGAGUAAGAUGAUACUAAAUCAGCUCUGGCUAUCCUAAUGUCUUGUUUUCUUUAAAAUAGUUGUUUAUGCUAUCACAGAUAAUAAAAUCAAACAAACUGGGAUAAAACCAUUCCAACUAAUGAAUGCAGACAUUAUAAGGCUUCAGAGCAAUGUAAUGGGCAAUCAUGAUUAUUAUAAACUCUUAUGUAUUCUUACCAUUUCUUACACUAGGGAGACUAUACGGUAUACAUGUGAGUUUGAUUUAUUUCGCUUAUGAGUAUGGUCUCAAGUUGCAUCCAUUUAUUUAUAAAUAUAUCAAUGUGAUCAUUCUUUAAUAGCUGAGUAAUACUCCAUUGCAUAAAAAUACCACAACUUUUUUAUCCAUUCUUCAGUUGAUGGACACUUAAGUUGUUUCCAAGAUCUGGCUAUUACAAAUUGAACUGCUAUAAACAUGGGUACACAUAUACCACUGUGGGGCCAUACCAUGUUUUAAUGCAUGUAUACAUGGUGUGAUGUUUGCAUGAGGUUACACACAUAUGCUAAUCCAUUUAUCAUUGUCUUCCAGUAAAAUUUUCCA